rnacentral:rRNA from 1 species
AUGGUUCAGUCGCCGGGCAAAGCAUCCUUCCAGGAUCCAACAGAUAAACAUAGGCCACGAACUCAUGCCUUCCAUCCGCGGGAGCGGCGAACGAAGCAGGGUUCGACACAUGCCACCAAGGACAGUGGCAGGGGCGGAGGAGGAGGGAAGGCAGCGGGCAGCAGCGGCAGAGGCGGAGGAGAAGAGGAGGUGUCGUGGACCGACGACCGUGCCAAAGGGGCUGACCACACGCAGAGAUCGAGGGGAGGCGGCGGGCAGCACCGGCAAAGGCGGAGAUGCCGUGGACCGGCGACCGUGCCAGAGGGGCUGACCACACACUGA